UGGCUGGCGAGUGGCGGACGGGUGAGUAACGCGUAGGAAUAUGCCCAGUAGCGGGGGAUAGCCCGGGGAAACCCGGAUUAAUACCGCAUACGCCCUACGGGGGAAAGCGGGGGAUCUUCGGACCUCGCACUAUUGGAGUAGCCUGCGUAGGAUUAGCUUGUUGGUGAGGUAAAGGCUCACCAAGGCGACGAUCCUUAGCUGGUCUGAGAGGAUGAUCAGCCACACCGGGACUGAGACACGGCCCGGACUCC
rnacentral:rRNA from 1 species